rnacentral:misc_RNA from 1 species
UUUCCGUAGGUGAACCUGCGGAAGGAUCAUUAAAAAAUUCUGCCAUUGUUUGGUGGAAACAAUAAUCAUCCUACCCUUUGUGAAUUUGUUGUUUGUAAUAAUUUUUUAAAAGAAAAAUUAUUUACUGUCUAUCCUGGAUAGUAAAAGUUGGAAGGAGUAAUCUAGAAAACUUUUGCUUUCAGGGAAUAGUAUGUAAUAAAUUUUUCAUUUAAGGACCUUUUUUUAAAUUAAACUUUUGUAUUCAUUUGUCUAAAAUUUAUUUUUAAAUAAUUUAAAAACAACUUUUGACAAUGGAUCUCUUGGUUCUCGCAACGAUGAAGAACGCAGCAAAAUGCGAUAAGUAGUGUGAAUUGCAGAAUACGUGAAUCAUCGAAUCUUCGAACGCAUAUUGCACUUUUUUAGUUUACUAAAAAGUAUGUCUGUUUGAGUAUCAGUAAAAUAUUCUCAUAAAACUUUUGUUUUUAUGGUUAUGAGUGUUUUACAACGAUAACAAGUUGUUUCGCUUUAAAUUCUUUGUUAUCUUAAAAAUCAUUAAAAAACUAAUUUUAAAGAUUUUUUAAAAUUGGAUAAAAUUUUCCCGUAAAAAGGAAUAACCUUAAACAAUUUUAAAAAAUUAAAAUUGGUUGAUUUUUUCAAGACACCCAAAGGAAAAAAACGAAAUUAACUUGAUCUCAAAUCAGAUAAGAGUACCGCUGAACAUAAGCAUAUCAAUAAGCGGAGGAAAGAAACUAACUAGGAUUCCCUCAGUAACGGCGAGUGAAGCGGGAAGAGCUCAAAUUUGAAAUCUUCAAGGUUUUACCUUGACGAAUUGUAGUUUAAAGAAGUGUUUUCUGUUGGAAUUUUGGUAAAAGUUCUUUGGAAAAGGACAUCAUAGAGGGUGAGAAUCCCGUAUUUGACCAUUAUUUCCAGCUUUGUGAUACACUUUCAAAGAGUCGGAUUGUUUGGGAAUGCAGUCCAAAAUGGGUGGUAAAUUUCAUCUAAAGCUAAAUACUGGCGAGAGACCGAUAGCGAACAAGUACCGUGAGGGAAAGAUGAAAAGAACUUUGAAAAGAGAGUUAAACAGUACGUGAAAUUGUCAAAAGGGAAGCGUUUGACACCAGUGUUGUUUCUCGAAAAUCAAUUAAAAGAAUCGGAUUUUGUGUUGUUAAGACCUUAUCAGCUUUCUGCACUCUUUUCUUAUUCUUUUUAAUGCACUUUUCGUUUAACAAGUCAACAUCAAUUUCUUUUGUUGUAAAAGGUCAUUGGAAGGUGGCUUUCUUUUCGGAGAAAGUGUUUAUAGCCUUUGGCCUCUGCAAUCGGAGAGAUUGAGGUCUGCAGCGUAGAUCCUUCGGGUUAGAUACAUUUGUGCUAAGCUAUAGCCUUUCAUAGACAACUUGUUGACUAUGAUCAGUCAUGUAACUUACUCGCAGAUGCUAUUUUACCUACGCUUAGGAUGUUGAA